AGAGUGCGUAAUAGCUCACUAGUCGAGAGGUCCUGCGCCGAAAAUGUCCGGGGCUAAAACACACCACCGAAGCUAUGGAAUGUGAAAACAUUGGUAGAGGAGCAUUCUUAACGUGACGAAGCUGUACCGGAAGGAGCAGUGGAGUGUUAAGAAGAGAGAAUGCCGGAAUGAGUAGCGAGAUUUAAGUGAGAAUCUUAAAGGCCGAAUAUCUAAGGUUUCCAGGGUAAAGCUGAUCUUCCCUGGGUAAGUCGGGGCCUAAGGCGAGGACGAAAGUCGUAGUCGAUGGAUAACAGGUAGAAAUUCCUGUACCACAUACAAACAGAACUGUGGGGACGCAGAGAGAAAGCCAGAGCCGGAAAUGGAAAAGCCGGUGCAAGCGAGGUAUCCGUAAGGGAGGCAAAACCCCCUUGCAAGGAGAAGACGUAAUGCGGAGUGAACUAUAAGUAACGAAGCUGGUGAGCUAGCUGCCAAGAAAAGCCGCUAUUGUUUUGUAUGUGCCCGUACCGUAAACCGACACAGGUGGAUGAGGAGAGAAUCCUAAGGCCGGCGGGAGAAGUGUUGUUAAGGAACUCGGCAAAAUGACUCCGUAACUUCGGGAGAAGGAGUGCCACAGAGAUGUGGCCGCAGAGAAAUGGCCCAAGCAACUGUUUAGCAAAAACACAGGUCUAUGCAAAACCGAAAGGUGAGGUAUAUGGGCUGACGCCUGCCCGGUGCUGGAAGGUUAAGAGGAGAGGUUAGCGCAAGCGAAGCUUUGAAUUUAAGCCCCAGUAAACGGCGGCCGUAACUAUAACGGUCCUAAGGUAGCGAAAUUCCUUGUCGGGUAAGUUCCGACCCGCACGAAAGGCGUAAUGAUUUGGGCACUGUCUCGACAACACACCCGGUGAAAUUGAAAUACCAGUGAAGAUGCUGGUUACCUGCGCCAGGACGGAAAGACCCCAUGGAGCUUUACUCCAGUUUGAUACUGGGAUUCGGUACUGUCUGUACAGGAUAGGUGGGAAGCUAGGAAAUGAUGACGCCAGUUGUCAUGGAGCUGACCUUGGGAUACCACCCUUACAGUACUGGGUUUCUAACCUGCAGCCGUGACCCGGCUGGGGGACAAUGUCUGACGGGGAGUUUGACUGGGGCGGUCGCCUCCGAAAGGGUAUCGGAGGCGCUCAAAGG
rnacentral:rRNA from 1 species